rnacentral:rRNA from 1 species
GACGAACGCUGGCGGCGUGCUUAACACAUGCAAGUCGAACGGAAAGGCCCUGCUUUUGUGGGGUGCUCGAGUGGCGAACGGGUGAGUAACACGUGAGUAACCUGCCCUUGACUUUGGGAUAACUUCAGGAAACUGGGGCUAAUACCGGAUAGGAGCUCCUGCUGCAUGGUGGGGGUUGGAAAGUUUCGGCGGUUGGGGAUGGACUCGCGGCUUAUCAGCUUGUUGGUGGGGUAGUGGCUUACCAAGGCUUUGACGGGUAGCCGGCCUGAGAGGGGGACCGGCCACAUUGGGACUGGGAUACGGCCCAGACUCCUACGGGAGGCAGCAGUGGGGAAUAUUGCACAAUGGGCGGAAGCCUGAUGCAGCAACGCCGCGUGCGGGAUGACGGCCUUCGGGUUGUAACCCGCUUUCGCCUGUGACGAAGCGUGAGUGACGGUAAUGGGUAAAGAAGCACCGGCUAACUACGUG